rnacentral:tRNA from 1 species
UGUCCAGGGAUGGGAAUCGAACCCACAAUGUUCCGCUUACCGGGCAGAUGCCAUGUCCACUAGGCUGGUCCACUGGC